rnacentral:rRNA from 1 species
UACGAAGGGGGCUAGCGUUGCUCGGAAUCACUGGGCGUAAAGCGCACGUAGGCGGAUUGCUAAGUCAGGGGUGAAAUCCUGGAGCUCAACUCCAGAACUGCCUUUGAUACUGGCGAUCUCGAGUUCGGGAGAGGUGAGUGGAACUGCGAGUGUAGAGGUGAAAUUCGUAGAUAUUCGGAAGAACACCAGUGGCGAAGGCGGCUCACUGGCCCGGUACUGACGCUGAGGUGCGAAAGCGUGGGGAGCAAACAGGG